GCGGACCGGGCCCCUCUGGCGGGCGCGCUUCUUUCGAAGGCGCUCGUGAUGUCGGACCGCAUCG
rnacentral:ncRNA from 1 species